rnacentral:tRNA from 1 species
GGAGAGAUGCCAGAGCGGUUGAAUGGGCCGGUCUCGAAAACCGGUGUGGCGCUUGCGUCACCGUGGGUUCGAAUCCCACUCUCUCCG